GGGUAGCGGGGAAUUAGGGUUCGAUUCCGGAGAGGGAGCCUGAGAAACGGCUACCACAUCCAAGGAAGGCAGCAGGCGCGCAAAUUACCCAAUCCCGACACGGGGAGGUAGUGACAAUAAAUAACAACACAGGGCUCUUUUGGGUCUUGUUAUUGGAAUGAGUACGAUUUAAAUCUCCUAACGAGGAACAAUUGGAGGGCAAGUCUGGUGCCAGCAGCCGCGGUAAUUCCAGCUCCAAUAGCGUAUAUUAAAGUUGUUGCAGUUAAAAAGCUCGUAGUUGAAUUUCAGGCCUGGCUGGACGGUCCGCCCUUCGGGUGAGUACUGUCUGUGGUCGGGUCCUACCUUCUGGCGAAGCGUCAUGGCCUUAACCAGCCGUGGCGGGGAACCAGGACUUUUACUGUGAAAAAAUUAGAGUGUUCAAAGCAGGCAAUCGCUUGGAUACAUUAGCAUGGAAUAAUGGAAUAGGACAAUGGUUCUAUUUGUUGGUUUCUAGGACCGUUGUAAUGAUUAAUAGGGAUAGUUGGGGGCAUUAGUAUUCAAUUGUCAGAGGUGAAAUUCUUGGAUUUAUUGAAGACUAACUACUGCGAAAGCAUUUGCCAAGGAUGUUUUCAUUAAUCAAGAACGAAAGUUAGGGGAUCGAAGACGAUCAGAUACC
rnacentral:rRNA from 1 species